rnacentral:rRNA from 1 species
UACGAAGGGGGCUAGCGUUGCUCGGAAUCACUGGGCGUAAAGGGUGCGUAGGCGGGUCUUUAAGUCAGGGGUGAAAUCCUGGAGCUCAACUCCAGAACUGCCUUUGAUACUGAAGAGCUCGAGUCCGGGAGAGGUGAGUGGAACUGCGAGUGUAGAGGUGAAAUUCGUAGAUAUUCGCAAGAACACCAGUGGCGAAGGCGGCUCACUGGCCCGGUACUGACGCUGAGGUGCGAAAGCGUGGGGAGCAAACAGG